GAUGAACGCUAGCUACAGGCUUAACACAUGCAAGUCGAGGGGUAACAAGAGGAAAGCUUGCUUUUCUUGUUGACGACCGGCGCACGGGUGAGUAACGCGUAUCCCACCUGCCUAUAACUAGGGAAUAACCUUGCGAAAGUAAGACUAAUACCCUAUGAUUUCCUUUGAUGGCCUCAGAUUAGGAAUAAAGAUUUAUCGGUUAUAGAUGGGGAUGCGUCUGAUGAGCUUGUUGGCGGGGUAACGGCCCACCAAGGCAACGAUCAGUAGGGGUUCUGAUAGGAAGGUCCCCCACAUUGGAACUGAGACACGGUCCAAACUCCUACGGGAAGCAGCAGUUAGGAAUAUUGGUCAAUGGGCGGAAGCCUGAACCAGCCAAGUAGCGUGCAGGAUGACGGCCCUAUGGGUUGUAAACUGCUUUUAUACAGGAAUAAAGUUAGCCACGUGUGGUUAUUUGUAGGUACUGUAUGAAUAAGGACCGGCUAAUUCCGUGCCAGCCGCCGCUGUAA
rnacentral:rRNA from 1 species